GACGAACGCUGGCGGCGUGCUUAACACAUGCAAGUCGAACGGAAAGGCCCUGCUUUUGUGGGGUGCUCGAGUGGCGAACGGGUGAGUAACACGUGAGUAACCUGCCCUUGACUUUGGGAUAACUUCAGGAAACUGGGGCUAAUACCGGAUAGGAGCUCCUGCUGCAUGGUGGGGGUUGGAAAGUUUCGGCGGUUGGGGAUGGACUCGCGGCUUAUCAGCUUGUUGGUGGGGUAGUGGCUUACCAAGGCUUUGACGGGUAGCCGGCCUGAGAGGGUGACCGGCCACAUUGGGACUGAGAUAGGGCCCAGACUCCUACGGGAGGCAGCAGUGGGGAAUAUUGCACAAUGGGCGGAAGCCGGAUGCAGCAACGCCGCGUGCGGGAUGACGGCCUUCGGGUUGUAAACCGCUUUCGCCUGUGACGAAGCGUGAGUGACGGUAAUGGGUAAAGAAGCACCGGCUAACUACGU
rnacentral:rRNA from 1 species